GAGUGAUCGAAAGAUGAAAAGCACUUUGAAAAGAGAGUUAAAAAGCACGUGAAAUUGUUGAAAGGGAAGCGCUUGCGACCAGACUCGCUCGCGGGGUUCAGCCGGCAUUCGUGCCGGUGUAUUUCCCCGCGGGCGGGCCAGCGUCGGUUUGGGCGGUCGGUCAAAGGCCCUCGGAAGGUAACGCCCCUAGGGGCGUCUUAUAGCCGAGGGUGCAAUGCGACCUGCCUAGACCGAGGAACGCGCUUCGGCUCGGACGCUGGCAUAAUGGUCGUAAGCGAC
rnacentral:rRNA from 1 species